rnacentral:rRNA from 1 species
CACGUAGGCGGGUCAGUAAGUCAGAUGUGAAAUCCCUGGGCUUAACCUGGGAACUGCAUCUGAAACUGCUAAUCUUGAAUACCUCAGAGGUUGGUGGAAUUCCUGGUGUAGGAGUGAAAUCCGUAGAGAUCAGGAGGAACAUCGGAGGCGAAGGCGGCCAACUGGGAGAGUAUUGACGCUGAGGUGCGAAAGCGUGGGGAGCAAACA